rnacentral:sRNA from 1 species
UUGUCUAUGUCUCCAGUUCCUCUCGUAUCCUGAGUGAUGAUUACAAUCGUGUAUUUCUAGCAUUGGAUAGUUAACGAAACAUCAAACUAGAGACACACACACACACAUAAAUAUCUUGUCAGAUAAGUAAACGACUAGAUAAAUGUCGAUCUAGAUAAUAGAUCAUUUGUGUAGUACAAUUCUUUGUGCUUGAGAAGGACAUGUGAUCCGUAGCAUAUCCAUUUUCUCUGCCCACCAUUUUCCCUACACCACUGAAUGAGGUGUAACAUUUCUGAAGAAACACUUGAAACUUCGAAGUGAAAUACUUACUUUUGGAUGUCAGUGUAGCAGUCACGUGAUGUGGUUUUGUUUUAGUGUCACUUCCAUUAACUUGACAUUAUUUUCAGUGGCAGCAAGUGACGUUCUGAAACACACAAAACAUUGGAACAAAUCCUGAACUUCUCAAGACAUUAGAUCGUCACUAGACUGUAUAGAAUGGUUUCAUCGGAUUGCUCAAAUGAAAAGAGAGGGCGCUUGGAUCGCACCAAGAGAGACAGAAGUGAGUUACUAAGGACGCUUCCACCAUGCCGAGUGUGCUUGGAGGCUGCGUCUGGGUUUCACUAUGGAGUCAACACGUGUGAGGCUUGCAAAGGAUUUUUCAGACGUGCUUUGAAACAUGGGACUACUUUUACUUGUAAGCAACAGAAAGAAUGUGACGUCACAGGAACCGCACGCACUCUUUGUUCUUAUUGCCGUUUUCAAAAAUGUAUUUGUGUGGGCAUGUCAACUAGUGGUGAGUUGUAAAAGAUCUAGACCUAAG